AUGCAAAGAACUUUGAAAAGAGAGUUAAAGAGUACCUGAAAUUGCUGAAAGGGAAGCGAAGGAAACCAGUGUUUGCCUGGUCAUAUUUCCCUGGCCGCUUGCGGCUUGGGCGCUGUGUCCGGCUUGAGUUGUGCUUGGUUGUGGCCCUCGGAAGAGCGCGUAGAGAGUUGAUCUGCGUUGCUAGCGUUGGGCUACGACUGAGCAGGACGAAAUGGUUUUCUUUACCCCGUCUUGAAACACGGACCAAGGAGUCUAACAUAUGUGCGAGUACAGGGGUGGCAAACCCCCGUGCGCAAUGAAAGUGACAGUGGUUGGAUAUUUGCACAAUCCGCCGGCCUCAAUCCCUCGGGAGAACGGUCUGAGUGUGAGCAUACAUGUUGGGACCCGAAAGAUGGUGAACUAUGCCUGAAUAGGGUGAAGCCAGGGGAAACUCUGGUGGAGGCUCGUAGCGAUUCUGACGUGCAAAUCGAUCGUCAAAUUUGGGUAUAGGGGCGAAAGACUAAUCGAACCAUCUAGUAGCUGGUUCCCUCCGAAAUUUCCCUCAGGAUAGCUGCAAUCGAUUUCAAUUUUAUCA
rnacentral:rRNA from 1 species